GGGGUAACCUGCCUGUAAGACUGGGAUAACUCCGGCGAAACCGGAGCUAAUACCGGAUAGUUCCUUGAACCGCAUGGUUCAAGGAUGAAAGACGGUUUCGGCUGUCACUUACAGAUGGACCCGCGGCGCAUUAGCUAGUUGGUGGGGUAAUGGCUCACCAAGGCGACGAUGCGUAGCCGACCUGAGAGGGUGAUCGGCCACACUGGGACUGAGACACGGCCCAGACUCCUACGGGAGGCAGCAGUAGGGAAUCUUCCGCAAUGGACGAAAGUCUGACGGAGCAACGCCGCGUGAGUGAUGAAGGUUUUCGGAUCGUAAAGCUCUGUUGUUAGGGAAGAACAAGUGCGAGAGUAACUGCUCGCACCUUGACGGUACCUAACCAGAAAGCCACGGCUAACUACGUGCCAGCAGCCGCGGUAAUACGUAGGUGGCAAGCGUUGUCCGGAAUUAUUGGGCGUAAAGGGCUCGCAGGCGGUUUCUUAAGUCUGAUGUGAAAGCCCCCGGCUCAACCGGGGAGGGUCAUUGGAAACUGGGAAACUUGAGUGCAGAAGAGGAGAGUGGAAUUCCACGUGUAGCGGUGAAAUGCGUAGAGAUGUGGAGGAACACCAGUGGCGAAGGCGACUCUCUGGUCUGUAACUGACCGCUGAGGGAGCGAAAGCGUUGGGGAGCGAACAGGGAUUAGAUACCCCUGCGUAGUCCCACGCCGUAAACGAUGAGUGGCUAAGUGUUAGGGGGGUUUUCCGGCCCCUUAGUGGCUGGCAGGCUAACCGCAUUAAAGCACUCCGCCU
rnacentral:rRNA from 2 species